rnacentral:rRNA from 1 species
AACGAACGCUGGCGGCAUGCCUAACACAUGCAAGUCGAACGAGACCUUCGGGUCUUGUUGCGCACGGGUGCGUAACGCGUGGGAACCUUCCCUUAGGUUCGGAAUAACUCCCCGAAGGGGGCGCUAAUACCGGAUAAUGUCUUCGGACCAAUGAUUUAUCGCCUCAGGAUUGGUACGCAUUCGAUUAGCUAGUUGGUAGGGUAAAAGCCUACCAAGGCGACGUUCCAUAGCUGGUGUGGAAGGAUGACCAGCAACACUGGGACUGAGACCCGGCCCAGAUUCCCACGGGAGGCAGCAGUUGGGACUAUUGGACGAUGGGCGAGAGCCGAAGCCAGCAAUGCCGCGUGAGUGUUUAAGGACUUAGGGUUGUAAAGCUCUUUUGCCCGGGAUGAUAGUGACGGUACCGGGAGAAUAAGCUCCGGCUAACUCCGUG